UACGAGGGGGGCAAGCGUUGUUCGGAAUUAUUGGGCGUAAAGGGUGCGUAGGCGGUUUGGUAAGUCUGAUGUGAAAUCUAUGGGCUCAACUCAGAGUCUGCUAUAGAAACUGCCGUGCUUGAGUGUGGGAGAGGUGAGUGGAAUUCCCGGUGUAGCGGUGAAAUGCGUAGAGAUCAGGAAGAACACCCGUGGCGAAGGCGGCCCACUGGGCCGGUGCUGACGCUGAGGCGCGAAGGCGUGGGGAGCGAACGGG
rnacentral:rRNA from 1 species